CAGCCGCCGCGGGAAUACAGAGGGUGCGAGCGUUAAUCGGAUUUACUGGGCGUAAAGCGUGCGUAGGCGGCUUUUUAAGUCGGAUGUGAAAUCCCUGAGCUUAACUUAGGAAUUGCAUUCGAUACUGGGAAGCUAGAGUAUGGGAGAGGAUGGUAGAAUUCCAGGUGUAGCGGUGAAAUGCGUAGAGAUCUGGAGGAAUACCGAUGGCGAAGGCAGCCAUCUGGCCUAAUACUGACGCUGAGACGCGAAAGCCAGGGGAGCGAACGGGAUUAGAUACCCCCGUAGUCCCUGUCUCUUAUAC
rnacentral:rRNA from 1 species